rnacentral:snoRNA from 1 species
ACUCAGUGAUGAAAACUUAGUCCAGUUCUGCUACUGACUGUAAGUGACAAUAAAGUAUUACCUGAGGAGA